AUUUACGACUUUACGAUAGAGUUGAGGUGAACCUGGUCAGAUGCGGAAGCAAGCAGCCACAGCAACAAAUUUAUGUGUAGAUAAUCGCAGUACAA
rnacentral:SRP_RNA from 1 species